AUUGUAUUUGUAGAGCUUGAACUGCACUCUUGGACACUUUGCCUUUAUUUGUAAAUAAAAGCACUGAACACUUUACACCAGCCCCAUGCUUACUGUGUGUGUCCUCAUUUGCUUGGCUGAUCUUUGGGCUAUUGACGGUUCUUGGUUCAAGUGGCCUCUGAACGUAACUAUGAAGGGUGGAGCUGACCCGGACCGUCACAGAGUAAAAGAGUAAACCGAAGGUAGGAUGUGAGCUGACAGCAUCAUUAGUUCAAGCUGAACUCCUUAGCCUCUAUGCAACUUAUAAAGGUCAGUGUACUAGAACAAAAGCAAAGGGAUGAAAAAGACAAGUUUCCAAAAUUUUAGCAUCAUCAUCAUCCUAAAUUUUGCAAAGCAAAUCACCUUCCAUAUGUUAAACACAAAAUUAAUAAUUUGUAUGUAUAUGCAAAACAAACAUAAAAUAUAUUGGUGGUAUCUGGAAUAUUUCCCAGCAGUUUUAAGCCCUUUUCCUAUUUCCAGCUUAGGAUCCCAGCAACAUGCGGAUCAAACACCUGUUAAAAUAUACAGUAUUCUUCAAAUAUGCAUCAAAAAUGUAAUAAAAAAUAAAAGUUUAUUUCUGUUUCUUUUCUUAUAACAGAUUGCAAAAUUAAUGAAGAAGUGCCUGAAUUUCCAUCUUUUCGUUCAGCAAGAUUCUUUAUAUUAGUAGGAUCUUUGGUAUGUGUGAUCAAUGGUGUAAUAGUCUACGUAUGCUGGCACAAGAAAACGAAGAGAAGUGAUGAAUCAAUGUACAACAGUAAUCAAAAAGAACGUGAGAAUCCUGAUGGAGUUGAUGCAGAGUAUUUAAGUAUGUCUACUCAAUCACCAGCAGCGAGCCAGUCUGAAAAGCAAGGUGAAGAAGUGCUAUGAAGAACAGAAGUGAUAUACAUAGCACAAAGGAAAAGGCUCUAAACAGAAGGCCAUCCAAUGGAGAAAACAAUCAGGGCCCACCACUCUGGGGUGGUAACACCUACUCACUGUACCAGGGCAUUAUCCAUUCAUCAAGGAUUUCUGCAUGUCAACUGUAUCAUCACCAAUUGUAUAGCUUUAUGUUAAUAUUUGUUGAAAUAAUCUGUAUCUUUCAAAAAAAUCUAUGCCUAGAACAGCUCACGUUUAAUCCCUUGGAAAGAUCACUUACAGAACUGGUUUGAUUGGUUUUGCGUUUCCAGAGCAAGAAACAAACUAGAUUCUAGAUAAAAGAAGAGGACAUAUUGUACACAAAAUGAUAGAAUGUUAGGUCAUAUCAUUUCCCAACUAGACAAAGUGAAAUGAAUAGCGUUUAAUCUAUCCAUUUAGCUUUUUUUCAUGUUAAAGAACUUCAUUGUUUAGAUUUUUGUAUAACCUUGUUCUCAUGUCAUAAAUAUCCUGAAAUAAAUAUUCCAGUGAUUCUUAUGAAAAAUA